rnacentral:rRNA from 2 species
CCAAAGGUGGCCUCUACAUGUAAGCUAUCGCGUCGGGAUGGGCCCAGUUAGGAUUAGCUAGUUGGUAAGGUAAUGGCUUACCAAGGCGACGAUCCUUAGCUGGUUUGAGAGGAUGAUCAGCCACACUGGGACUGAGACACGGCCCAGACUCCUACGGGAGGCAGCAGUGGGGAAUAUUGCACAAUGGGGGAGACCCUGAUGCAGCCAUGCCGCGUGUGUGAAGAAGGCCUUCGGGUUGUAAAGCACUUUCAGCAGUGAGGAAGGUAGUGUACUUAAUACGUGCAUUGCUUGACGUUAGCUGCAGAAGAAGCACCGGCUAACUCCGUGCCAGCAGCCGCGGUAAUACGGAGGGUGCGAGCGUUAAUCGGAAUUACUGGGCGUAAAGCGCAUGCAGGCGGUUUGUUAAGUCAGAUGUGAAAGCCCGGGGCUCAACCUCGGAACCGCAUUUGAAACUGGCAGGCUAGAGUCUUGUAGAGGGGGGUAGAAUUUCAGGUGUAGCGGUGAAAUGCGUAGAGAUCUGAAGGAAUACCAGUGGCGAAGGCGGCCCCCUGGACAAAGACUGACGCUCAGAUGCGAAAGCGUGGGUAGCAAACAG